rnacentral:rRNA from 1 species
GUGAGGAAUUUUCCGCAAUGGGCGAAAGCCUGACGGAGCAAUGCCGCGUGAAGGAUGAUGGCCUAUGGGUUGUAAACUUCUUUUCUCAGAAAAGAAUUAUGACGGUAUCUGAGGAAUAAGCAUCGGCUAACUCUGUGCCAGCAGCCGCGGUAAGACAGAGGAUGCAAGCGUUAUCCGGAAUGAUUGGGCGUAAAGCGUCUGUAGGUUGUUUAAAAAGUAUUCUGUCAAAGAUUAGGGCUUAACCCUAGAUAGGCAGAAUAAACUUUUAAGCUAGAGUUUGGUAGAGGCAGAGGGAAUUCCCGGUGGAGCGGUGAAAUGCGUAGAUAUCGGGAGGAACACCAAAGGCGAAGGCACUCUGCUGGGCCAAUACUAACACUGAGAGACGAAAGCGAGGGGAGCAAAUGGGAUUAGAUACCCUAGUAGUCC